UCUCCGUUGGUGAACCAGCGGAGGGAUCAUUACAGAGUUCCACAACUCCCAACCCCUGCGAACCGUACCCCAGUUUGUUCUCAUUGCCUCCUGGCGGCGGGCCCUACGAACCUUUAUAUCUCAACCACCAGAAACCGUCUGAGAAAACAAACAAAAUAAUCAAAACUUUCAACAACGGAUCUCUUGGCUCUG
rnacentral:misc_RNA from 1 species